ensembl:lncRNA
UUUUUUUUUUUUUUUAAUAUCUAGUAGCUUUCUGCAAGUGCUGGACUUCAGUAAAUCCAAGCACUGGGAAUCAUAAAAUAUAUUCCACCAGGAUAAAGAGAGGCACUCAGAGCAGCUACUCUGGGGCAGCCUGGCAGCAGAUUCUGCUCUGUGUGAUGGAGAGAAAAGAUCUCCCCCAGCAUCUGACAGCACUGUGUUCGUGCUCCAUGAAAGCACGUGAGCUUUAGGUUAAAAACACCCCAUUUGUGUGUGUGUGAAUAAGGAGAAAACUCCUGGUUUGGCCUCUUUCUGCACACAGACAGGCAAGUGUUUCUGCAGACAGACUGUUAGCACACGUCACAUCCUCCCGAGGCAAAGCUCCCAUUAAAAAGCUGCUGGCAGAGAGUGUUUAUUAAAGAAACUCACAGUGAUGGCAGCGCUGCCCCACAGCCAGCACUGCACAGGAUCAUUGCCCCAGCCAAAAUUACCUUUGCUGGAGGGGAGAAAAAGCAGAGCCCACUUUGAAAACCCCAGCUCAGGGCUGGUGGGUCACUUCCCCAGCGUUGCCCAGACCUCUGCCAGGCUGUGGGCUCUCUCCAGAGCUCACCCUGUUCCUGCCCCUGUUUAUUUUUCAUUUCCUGCUGCAGCUCUUAUGUGCACCAAGGCCCCUCUUAUCUUUUAUGUCUAAGGUUCUAGCAUGGACCAAGCCAUGGCUACUCAGCAGAUCCCUGUUUGUCCUUCCUGGUGUCUUUUCCUUGGAAAGCCAAGCGAGUCUGGUGUGUGGCUAACAGGAAAUGUUGUGCUGGUGGCUCCCAUCUUGCUGCUCGUGCAUUACCAUCCCUCUGCUGAAACCACUUCGUGCCUGAGUCAUGUGUUCACCAUCCCUGUUCUCUAGGGCCACGUCCAUUCUUUUACUCAUCCCCUGUAUGCUUCAGGAGCUCAGGGACAUCCAAGGAUAUCCUGGGAAAUCCUCCCUCUUCCUAGGCUUGGCUAUUUGCUUCUCCACCAAAACGGCAUGAAAAAAAAAAGAGGAGGCCCUCACACUGCUCUCACACAAGUCCCCAGGACUCUAAAAUUACUCUUUAUCUCCUUGUUUCACCACAGGGGAAGUGAAUUUGCCCAUGCUGAUAUGCAGAAGGAGCAGAGCAGCAAAGGGGGUAUGGCUUGCCUGGAAGCUCCUGUGCUCAGCAGCAUCAGCAAACUGAGUCAAACUCAAAGUGCUUUGGAGCACUGUCCUAUUUAAUUCCUGGGAAACUGCUGCUUAUGACCUACCACAGCAAAACAUCACAGAGAUGACUCAGGAAAACAGAGAUUAUUUUGUGUGUGGGGAAAAUACAGAGUUAGUGCCUUCCUGCUGCCUGUCCUCCCCUCUUCCAUGCACAUCCCUCAAACUGGCAGUGAGAGAGGCUCCAUCUCCAGGGGCUGUCACAUCUGCUUCCCUCCCCAGACAACAGUUCCCAUCAAAACCCCUUUGCCCCAGCUUCACAAAACCCCAUCCCAGCUCCUCCGCACUUCCAGCAGGGUCAAUGCAGACAUCGGUUUCCAGAGCUGGUCCCUAAAUUCCUGGAGAUAAGCUGAAUAUUGAAAGGGAAGCCCUGGGUUUCCCUGUCCUGUGGCUUUGUGGGAAACUCUCAGUGCUACAGAGAGAAAUGACUGAAGAGUUGCAAAAUGCCACUGCAUGUAUGACUGACUAUGGACAUUUCCCAUCAUCUGAAAAGAGAAAGGACAACUUCUAGCCUGGUCAAGUGGAGAAGAGAGCAGCUGCUGGAGCAGGGAACAGAGCCAGCGACCUGAACCCAGCCCCAUUCAACUCCUGCUGCCCUGCAGAAGCUGCAGCCAUUUCCUAAAGGUCAAAAUGGUGUUAGAGCAGGACACGAACCCUGGUGUUGUUUCAGAGGGAUGGAUCAAUACUCCUGACAUGGGAAAGUGGCCAGAGGUGAGGCAGAGCCCCACUGCCACGGAGAGGGCUGGCAGCACUGUGUGGCUUGCAAGCCAGUUUACAAUAUGGACUUGCUAAUGUACUUAUGCUUUAAUUGCUAUUUAGCAAUGAGGUGUUUGGGAGGAGUUGGCCAGACAGGAGAGAUUAGAGAAGGCCAACAGAAGAAGAGAUGCUAAUCAAUGAGAUGAUGGACUUUCUCUGGUCUGAUAUGUUGGCUAACUCCAGGAAAUGAUUUUUUUUCCUCAUACCCCUCUUAUAAGCCAGCAGGAGCUUGGCCUGAUUUCAGUGAUAUUCAACACUUUGAAGGUGGCCACAUCCAACAUCAGGAUGUGUCUGACACUGGCCACAGCCCUGGGACCAGCAGCUGCCUCUGCUUAGCAGCACUUUUCAGGUGAUUAUCCAUCUGCACCAUUAACAUUCUUGCACUGAGAUGUGCGGUUUUAUAAUUUAUUUUAAAAAAUAAACCAGUUGUUCUGUCUCAGACAUGACUGACAGAACUUCAUUGCUCUCUCCACGGGGCUGCAGCAGCAAUUUCUUUACCAUCACAUUCAGCAGAGGCUGCAGGACACUCACAGGCUACAGAAACUCUGAGGUCAUGCGGAAACUUUCCACAUUAAUGAGGGCUCCUGAACAGAAUUCUGUUCUGCAAAAUAAACAUUGCUCCUGGGUAGUUUUUGCUCAUUUAGGUCACUUUCAGCCAUUUUUUACCAUGAGUUUGCUUAGCAGGGAAAAACAAUAAAUGUUGUAUGAUGCAAGCUACUUGUCUUUUCUUGAUGGGGUACAAACAUGCGAGGGACUUUUUCCUUGUAAAAAAUCUGUGUCAGGAUGACUGUGGUUACCUCACAGAUCUGUGAGUUUGGAAAUUGUGAAUCCCUGAGAAGCUGACUGGUUGUCUACGUGAUCUAGAAGAAGUCAGUGGGCUGACAACAGCCUUUGGGUUGAGCCAAGCCUACUUUGAGGGGGAAAAGGGGUGGGUUUUGUUGGGUUUUAUGACUGUGGCUGUUUUCUCACAUCUCUGAUUUUCCACUGAGAAGCCACAGAGCAGGAGCAGGCUGCCUGUCCCUGCCUUUCCUGCAGCCCAGAGCACUGGGGACACCUCACAUGGGCUCUGCCCCCUCCUCUGCACAUACCUGUGGGGAAGGAAGGUCACACCAAGAUGCCACAUAUGGGGCACAGCUCAGCCAGCCAGGCUGGCUAGAGAGGAGCUUCAGAUCUCUCUGAGGUGAUUCCCUAAGGGAUUAAUUUUUGUUUGUGCAUUCCAAGCUUGUAUCAAUUAAAAACCUUUCAAAAGUGUUCCUGUUACACCAGAGUGGAUUCUUCCCUCUCAGAAACCCACUCUCUACUCCUGCAAUUAGGUUUCUUUUCUGCUGCUUUGGGAGAAGUUGUUCAGCUGCUGGUCCUAUCAAUAAUCCACGAGCUGCUGUACUCAGGCCUGCGCUUGCUUUUACCUGGGGGAGAUUGCAGCAGAGCUUCUUUCUCUGACUUUUGCAUAACAGUUCCAGUAAAAUAAAUGAGUAGUAGAGAUGCUAUUGCUACAAUCCUUCUGCAUUUUUAAAAGGAAAGUCAUGAAAUGGUGAUGAAAUUUAACUGGGUUUUGGCCUUGCCGUCCAGUUUUUUGAUGAUGUGUUUUGUUCAUGGUGAGCCAAGGGUUUCUCAACUAAAAAUGAAAAUUACAUCCAUAAACUAACUUUUUUUUUUUCUUUUCCAAGAAAACAGGAAAACCAAACAUUGAUUAGCUUGUGUGUCUCUCUCUGUUGUAUGCAUGAAUACCUGUAUGUACUAAAGGUUUGCCCUGAGCAAAAGCAGUCAGCAUAAACAAAUUUUCAUUUGGUUCUGAAAAUGGUGAGGUCUGUGGUCAUUCUUAUCUUAUCCUACAAAAUCUUUAUUUCCCACGCUCAUGAGUUGACUCUUAUUGAUAUACAUUUCAUUAUUUAGGGCAUGAUCUCAGAUAGCAAAGUGAGGUUUGAGGCACCAACUUUGUCAUUAUGGUUCUGAAUUUUGCUUACUCAGUUCCUUGGCAAACUCCUUCCACCCUGCGUUGACAUCUUAUAAACCCAGGGGUUUCCUGGGCUCCGAAAUGCUGGGCUUGUCAGUUCCUACCAGAACCUGCCAAAGUCUUCAUUAACAGUACAGAAAUGCCCCUAGCCCAUUUUAUGCCUCCGUUUUAUUGCUUUUUCUGAUUUUCCCACCUGCCAAAGUGCUCUGAGAGCCCAGCAGUGGUAGUCCUUGUUUCACUGCCCUACACUUUGCCCUUCCUGCACUCCACAGCAUCUCCAGCUAAAGGAAUGUGGAGUUUGAACAAAGAAAUGUCUGGAAAGCCAUCAAAGGGGAUGCUGGUCUCCUGCUGCUGGCUGAGGUGGGAGAAGACACCAGGCAGAAUGCUCCAAAUACCUGGAGCUGCUCAGUCUCUGCCCAUCCUCAGCUCUUACUUGGCCUUGGCUUUUUGUGACAGGAGUUGUUCUGCUGGAAAGUACCUAUUACACCUUUCCUAAGUGGAGAACUCAAUCUCUCUUCCAAAGGGCCACAUCCACAGACUAUUUAUGUAUCUAGGUCCAACUGAUUUUUAUCUCAGCUGCCUGGAUACCUUUGCAUAUCUGGACCCAAGUGUUUUGUCUGUGGUCAUGAAGGAAGCCUAUAGUAAGCAGAGAAGUGAAAACACAACGCAAGCUAAAGCUGUAACUACUUGUGCCACUCUUCCCUUCGCUGGGAAUUUUUUGGGAGCUGGAGAAGGUCUCAGUCUGCUGUGAAUAACAGCAGUAUGAUGCCUCUGCAUUUUAAUAUUUGUCUUUAAAAUAAAAGCCCAUAGUGCUGCAGUGAAAGAUGCCUAUUGAUUAUCCCCUCAGAAGCUGGAGAGCUCAUUUCAGCUGGCACUGCUGCGGCUGGAAGCCAGCGCUGCGAUUGAUCAUUUAAUUAACUGGAAGAAAAUUAAAGGAACUGUAAUCUGUGUCUCAGCUCUGUUGUUAUCAAGCUGGCAAAGUGCUUGUUUCUGCCUAGAGCAAUGAUCAGCUCCUUGACCCUGUGAUUUAAAACACCUGUUUAG